AGACCAGACUCCUACGGGAGGCAGCAGUGGGGAAUAUUGGGCAAUGGGCGCAAGCCUGACCCAGCAACGCCGCGUGAAGGAAGAAGGCUUUCGGGUUGUAAACUUCUUUUCUUGGGGACGAAGAAAGUGACGGUACCCAAGGAAUAAGCCACGGCUAACUACGUGCCAGCAGCCGCGGUAAUACGUAGGUGGCAAGCGUUAUCCGGAUUUAUUGGGUGUAAAGGGCGUGUAGGCGGGAAUGCAAGUCAGAUGUGAAAACUAUGGGCUCAACCCAUAGCCUGCAUUUGAAACUGUAUUUCUUGAGUGCUGGAGAGGCAAUCGGAAUUCCGUGUGUAGCGGUGAAAUGCGUAGAUAUCAGGAGGAACAUCGGUGGCGAAAGCGCUUUACUGGACCAUUAUUGACGCUGAGGAACGAAAGCCAGGGGAGCAAAUGGGAUUAGAUACCCCCGUACU
rnacentral:rRNA from 1 species